AAGUCGUAACAAGGUUUUGUGGUAUGAGAAUGUGAAACUAAUGAUCCUUCCCUUCAAAGAAGAAUUUCACACAUUCGAAACCUAUCGGAAGCCUGAGCAAACCUGAAACAUGGUUAGCGGUAGCGACUCUAAACAAGUACUGUCUUGAAAUUGCUAGUUACACUUCGAUAAGUGUAGCAACAUUAUCAAAUCGCGGGAAGUACCGACGAUUCGUAUCUACUAAGUUAGCGCAAGUGAUUGCGUUGAUGGCUUUGGAGAAAAACCAAAGGGACAGUGACAACGAUAUGAAUCGAAAUAUAUAUUUGAAAUAUUGAACAACUCUUAGCAAUGGAUAUCUUGGGUCAU
rnacentral:misc_RNA from 1 species